rnacentral:misc_RNA from 1 species
CAGAGAUCAUGCCCUUCGGGGUAGACCUCCCACCCUGUGUUAUUUACUCUUGUUGCUUUGGCAGGCCGCCUUCGGGCUUCUGGCUUCGGCUGGGACGCGCCUGCCAGAGGACCCCAAACUCUGAAAUUUAAUGUCGUCUGAGUACUAUAUAAUAAGUUA